GACGAACGCUGGCGGCGUGCUUAACACAUGCAAGUCGAACGGAAAGGCCCUGCUUUUGUGGGGUGCUCGAGUGGCGAACGGGUGAGUAACACGUGAGUAACCUGCCCUUGACUUUGGGAUAACUUCAGGAAACUGGGGCUAAUACCGUAUAGGAGCUCCUGCUGCAUGGUGGGGGUUGGAAAGUUUCGGCGGUUGGGGAUGGACUCGCGGCUUAUCAGCUUGUUGGUGGGGUAGUGGCUUACCAAGGCUUUGACGGGUAGCCGGCCUGAGAGGGUGACCGGCCACAUUGGGACUGAGAUACGGCCCAGACUCCUACGGGAGGCAGCAGUGGGGAGUAUUGCACAGUGGGCGGAAGCCUGAUGCAGCAACGCCGCGUGCGGGAUGACGGCCUUCGGGUUGUAAACCGCUUUCGCCUGUGACGAAGCGUGAGUGACGGUAAUGGGUAAAGAAGCACCGGCUAACUACGUG
rnacentral:rRNA from 1 species